CGGAGGGGCUAGCGUUGUUCGGAAUUACUGGGCGUAAAGCGCACGUAGGCGGACCAGAAAGUUGGGGGUGAAAUCCCGGGGCUCAACCUCGGAACUGCCUUCAAAACUAUUGGUCUUGAGUUCGAGAGAGGUGAGUGGAAUUCCGAGUGUAGAGGUGAAAUUCGUAGAUAUUCGGAGGAACACCAGUGGCGAAGGCGGCUCACUGGCUCGAUACUGACGCUGAGGUGCGAAAGCGUGGGGAGCAAACAGGAUU
rnacentral:rRNA from 1 species